CUAACAAGGAUUCCCUCAGUAACGGCGAGUGAAGCGGGAAGAGCUCAAAUUUGAAAUCUCCGAUGCUUGCAUCGGCGAGUUGUAGUUGCGAGAAGCACUUUCUAGGUGGAUCGCUGGUGCCUAAGUUGCUUGGAACAGCACGUCGCAGAGGGUGACAACCCCGUCUGUGGCGCCGGCGGCCGCUGACGAUGUGCUUUCGAAGAGUCGGGUUGUUUGGGAAUGCAGCCCAAAAUGGGUGGUAAACUCCAUCUAAAGCUAAAUACUGGCGUGAGACCGAUAGCGAAGGAAACGAAUGGACUCAGCAAUGCGCCCUCUGAGAUUCAGCCGGUGGGUGGCGUCGGCGCGGGUUUGCGGAUCUGAAUGGACCGCGGCCUGGCGCUCGCUUCCCCCCGCCGUCGCACUUCUCUGGGGCGCGCGUCAACGUGGGUUGGGACUGGGUCUGAAAGGUGCCGGGAAGGUAGGUGUGGGCCUUCGGGUCCGUUCUGUUACAGCCCGGCUCUCUCAUGGCUCGGGCCCGACCGAGGAGUGACAGGGCAUGCCUCCUGUGGCUAGGGUCCCGUCCUUCCGGCCGGCUGUCCAGUGUGGUGGACUGCUUGCAGUGCUCCGCGACGGCUGCCGGUCGUUGGGGUGGUGAUCU
rnacentral:rRNA from 1 species